rnacentral:rRNA from 1 species
ACGCUGGCGGCGUGCUUAACACAUGCAAGUCGAGCGGUAAGGCCCUUCGGGGUACACGAGCGGCGAACGGGUGAGUAACACGUGAGCAACCUGCCCCUGACUCCGGGAUAAGCGGUGGAAACGCCGUCUAAUACCGGAUANGACACACCAUCUCCUGGUGGUGUGUGGAAAGUUGUAUCGGUCAGGGAUGGGCUCGCGGCCUAUCAGCUAGUUGGUGGGGUAAAGGCCUACCAAGGCGAUUACGGGUAGCCGGCCUGAGAGGGCGACCGGCCACACUGGGACUGAGACACGGCCCAGACUCCUGCGGGAGGCAGCAGUGGGGAAUAUUGCACAAUGGGCGAAAGCCUGAUGCAGCGACGCCGCGUGGGGGAUGACGGCCUUCGGGUUGUAAACCUCUUUUACCACCAACGCAGGCCCCGGGUUCUCUCGGGGUUGACGGUAGGUGGGGAAUAAGGACCGGCUAACUACGUGCCAGCAGCCGCGGUAAUACGUAGGGUCCGAGCGUUGUCCGGAAUUAUUGGGCGUAAAGAGCUCGUAGGCGGCGUGUCGC